rnacentral:sRNA from 1 species
CGUGAGGGAUGGCCGACUAACUUUCGUCACGACCUGUAGCAAAGUCGGCACUUAUACAUCCUGUAUU